rnacentral:rRNA from 1 species
GGAAUAUUGCGCAAUGGGCGAAAGCCUGACGCAGCGACGCCGCGUGGGUGAUGAAGGCCUUCGGGUUGUAAAGCCCUUUCGACGGGGACGAUGAUGACGGUACCCGGCGAAGAAGCACCGGCUCACUCCGCGCCGGCAGCCGCGGUAAGACGGAGGGUGCUAGCGUUGUUCGGAAUCACUGGGCGUAAAGGGCGCGUAGGCGGCCCAGGCCGUCGGCUCGUGAAAGCCCGGGGCUCAACCCCGGAGGUGCGGCCGAGACCCAUGGGCUGGAGGCCGGAAGAGGAGGGUGGAAUACCCAGUGUAGAGGUGAAAUUCGUAGAUAUUGGGUGGAACACCGGUGGCGAAAGCGGCUCUCUGGUCCGGUUCUGACGCUGAGGCGCGAAAGCGUGGGGAGCAAAC